UUGUUACAUUUACUAUUCCCGAGAGAGAAUUCAAUUGGGAGAGAGUCUAUAACCUCAACUCUUACAUGUCACUUCAACGAUGCAACAAAUCAAAGGAUACACAUUUAAAUAAUUAUAUCAUCUCAACAGCACACAAUUGGUGCAGUGCAAGGUUAAUACUAAUAUAUUAGCACUGUUGGACAGAACACUCUCCCAGAAUUUAUCACACAUCAAAUGCAACAACAAGGAGAAUGCUCCAACCACACAGAAUGCAACCAACGCGUAUAACCUUACAAAGGCAAAUUGCACUAUCGCAUCACAGAUGUCAAGGGCAAUCAUUAAUUGUACAGUCAUAAAUGAAUCCUCAUAAACAAGGUACACAAACAGGAGACUAAUAAUAUUGGUAAAGUUAUUAGAUAUCAACGUCAAAUAUCACAGGUGAGGAACUGAGACGCAGCCCCAGUGUAUUAUGACACUCAAGCGGAGGACUAACAAUAUGACAAGGUCAUUAGAUAUCAAAAACGAGUCUCCACGGAGCACGGGCAAGGGCCAGUAUCCAAUGAGGAUGUCGCUUAUCAAAAAGUCAGGAUAUCGCAAGAAUAGCACUAGAGCAUAUACAGAUAAAGGACCAGUAGUACUGGUAAAUCCAACAAUUAGUCAGAUUACCACGUGUAAGACAUUAGAACAUAGAACCGAGAGAAUGCAGUAAUAGAAACCAUCAAUGGGUUCAAACAUUAGAUGAAUUCAAGUCACUAUAAUAUGGAUGCAAAAUACAUCCAAUAUUCCAAAAGCAUUACUAAUGCACAACAGUGUAUGAAAUGUCGACAACCGGCUAAAGGCACACAAGAAAUUGAGGCACCAAGUACAAGUAUAAGGAAUACAGCACCGUAGUACCCCGCACGUGACAAUAAUAUCAUCGGAUGUAUGAAGAAAUAUCUUCACAUGAACAACCAGUAGCCUCCAGAAGGCUUCAUACACCAUAUGGCACCUCCAAGGGAGACCAGGAUGAUGAGGCCACGUUAUAAUGUCAAAAGAUGAGAUAUUCACUCAGUUACAUACCACCAUUUAACAAUUGAUUGCACACAUUAUAUGUCGUAUUUAGUAUGUCAGUCAUAAUUAUUAACGCUAGGCGAGUUGUAUUCGCGCACUUUCACCGAUUUAUCAAAUAACACAAUUAAUAGAUUAAAAACUUAUAUAAUUUGAAAUCAGAUAUUUAUUUAUUAUCUCAAAAGUAUAGAAAGUGUAUUAUUAAUUACAGUCUUGUAAAUUGUAGCUAAUUGCUAUAUAAGACCUAUAAGAGUAUUAAUAAUCAAAAUAUUGUAGAUUGCCUAUUCGGACAAAAGAUGCACUUAACUUAUAGCAUUAGAACUAGAUUAUUCACUAAGUAGACAAAUAAGUCAUUUAUUCAGAAUACAUAUAUGUGGAUGUCUAUAUUUAUAGAACCACAAUCUAUGAUGAAUACUUAUUCGAAUCACUAUAUAUUUAUCUCAGAAAUAUAAACAAUCAUAAAAUUUAUAUAUAAGUAUAUAUGUAUACAGUUCCAUAUAUCAAUAUAAUUCCUACAGAAGGUUAUUUGUUACACAGAGUCAUAAGGAGGAUAAAGUAUAUAUGUAAUACAACCAUCCACCAAGGCUCCGAUGCUCUUCGAAUGAGGAAUCCUCCUCAAUUAUUGCAUAUGUUAUCUUCAAAGGAAUUUGAAGUCAAGAUCACUUAAUUAAAGGCUCAUCAAAAUGUAGAAACGAUCAAAACAUGAUUUAAUAAGAACAGCCACAUGAAGAGCACUGAAAUCUCAUAACAUAUAGUGUAUACUAUAUAUAUAGAAGAACCUGCACCGAUAUAAAUGAAGAAGGCAAUCACUACAUCACAAAGAAAGUGUAGCAGCAAUAUACGUACAAAUCAUUGCAGAGUAUUGUCCAAUAUGAAGAGACACUGCAGAAUAUUGUCUAGUAUGGAAAGACACUAGGCCCCAACUAAUUUACUCGUAUUGAGAAGUUCCAGUAGGUUUCUCACUUAAGUCUAGUUAUAAUAUAUUCUAUAUUGUCAAUUAGUCGAGUAAGACACCGUAUAUUACAUGAGACUUAUAUUGUAUUAACUAUUUAAUACGUUCAUAAAGCACAUAACAUCUAAA